rnacentral:rRNA from 1 species
UCCUACGGGGCGCAGCAGUGAGGAAUAUUGGUCAAUGGUCGGGAGACUGAACCAGCCAAGCCGCGUGAGGGAUGAAGGUACAGAGUAUCGUAAACCUCUUUUGUCAGGGAACAAAGGCGGGGACGCGUCCCCGGAUGAGUGUACCUGAAGAAAAAGCAUCGGCUAACUCCGUGCCAGCAGCCGUGGUAAUACGGAGGAUGCGAGCGUUAUCCGGAUUUAUUGGGUUUAAAGGGUGCGCAGGCGGUCUGUUAAGUCAGCGGUCAAAGCCCGGGGCUCAACCCCGGCCCGCCGUUGAAACUGGCAGG